AUCUCACUGGUGCGAGAAGAGAAGAG
rnacentral:piRNA from 1 species